CCAAUGAUUGGGAACCAGUUGAGGUUGAUGGAUCUCCUGGUUGCUAAAAUCAAAUACCCAUCUUUGUGCACCUUUUUUAUGUCUCUGGUGGUCGCAAGAGAAGUCUCUUAUUUGGAGGAUCUCUUCUAGUUCAUUUUGAUCCUCGGACAAAUGAAUGAAGCCACCAAAUGGUUGCUAUAACACACUUUUUUGCCGUCCAAAAUAUCUGUCUAACAUUGAUUUGUGUAAAAUACAUAAAA
rnacentral:misc_RNA from 1 species